rnacentral:tRNA from 1 species
GCGCGGGUAGUUCAGUGGCAGAAUCUUUGGCUUCCAACCAAAUGACCUGGGUUCGAAUCCCAGCUCGCGCA